AGAGAUCUGCACAGCAAAAGUGAAGUUCUAGUCAUUUGCUUCCAGAACCUGCUGUAUCAGGCAUGCCUCUGCUGACAGAUCUCCAAUAGGUGUUCAUUACUUCAAUGCUUGUCUGCUAUGACACAGGCUACACAGCAUGUGAUGGAAACACACAAAUCACAGACAGAGCAACACACCUCAUGACUUUUUCCUCUGCAAACGUCUAUCAGACUACUGUGCAAAACAGGGGCAUGGCCAGGACCAGAGUAUGUUGUAUUCACUCUCCCAUCUGGACACAAGCAAGGAACCCACGUAACUCUGAGCCAAGCUAUUCAUGCAGCGCAACCAACCUGCUGGAAGUACUCCAAAAGGCAUCUGAUAGCGCACCUGAUAAUUUUGUUCACAGUCACUGAGCCAUACUGACAGGCAUGAGGGAGAGCAGACGGCAUUACGUCCUUUGGGAGAUGGUGACUGUUCUCACAGAUCUCUGUGGCUUUUCAACUACUUGUCAUGCCAUGUAACCCGUAGAAUUUCCAAAUGCCCGUUUUCAAAGGGGAACUAAUAUUAUGUCUUAUGAGAGCUUAUUCAGCACAAGUAGAACAAUGAAUGAAGGAAUAGCAAGGAAUGAAGAAACAAGGACAAACAAACAGAAUUUUAUUUGAGAAGGAAAAUGAAACAAAGACUUAGGUUCUCCAUUUUGAGGUGCCAAUGGACAUGAAUAAUUUCAUGCACAAGUUCAAAGUUUGUCACAGCUGAUCAUGGUAUUUAAAAUAUUCAGAUAUGCAUGUCUGUUGGGUUGUGCCCAUCCAUGUCUUCAGGAGAAAAAUAUAACAUACCAUUCAAGGAAAGGUAUUGAUAUAGAAAUUUUAAUGAUGAAAUAGAAAGACACAUAUAAAGGUAACAAGUUAAAGCUAUAACCUGCCCAAAGCUUACCUAUAAUAAUAAAAGUCUUUCUCUGCCAGAUUUGCCUAGCUAAUUAGCUGAAUACAUGUCAAGAAUGAUUAAUGAGCAAUUGAUUAUAGCUUGCUGUUAACCUGGAAAUAAAGAUUAAGAGGCAAAUCCUGAGUUAAAUCCAGAGGUACAAAGAUCCUGCAACACUGACUCUGUGUACAAAGACAUAAAAUGUACAAAAGGAAUUGUAAUGUGGAGGAUUUAAGGGACACAUUUUUCUGCAUGUGGCUGGUUUAGGCCUAAGGCAAAUAAAACAACUUUGCUUCAGAAAGAACAACUUAUGACUUAACACCCUGGAAAGCUUCUCUUACUAUUCUGUUCAAAUUUCCCAUUGCUCA